rnacentral:rRNA from 1 species
UACGGAAGGCAGCAGUGGGGAAUAUUGCACAAUGGGCGCAAGCCUGAUGCAGCCAUGCCGCGUGUAUGAAAAAGGCCUUCGGGUUGUAAAGUACUUUCAGUCGUGAGGAAGGUGUUAAGGUUAAUAACCUUAGCAAUUGACGUUAGCGACAGAAGAAGCACCGGCUAACUCCGUGCCAGCAGCCGCGGUAAUACGGAGGGUGCGAGCGUUAAUCGGAAUUACUGGGCGUAAAGGGCACGCAGGCGGUUAAUUAAGUUGGAUGUGAAAUCCCCGGGCUUAACCUGGGAAUGGCAUUCAAGACUGGUUAGCUAGAGUCUUGUAGGAGGGGGUAGAAUUCCAUGUGUAGCGGUGAAAUGCGUAGAGAUGUGGAGGAAUACCGGUGGCGAAGGCCGGCCCCGUGGAACAAAGACUGACGCUCAUGUGCGAAAGCGUGGGGAGCAAACGAGGGAUUAGAUACC